UAGGGAAUCUUCGGCAAUGGGGGCAACCCUGACCGAGCAACGCCGCGUGAGUGAAGAAGGUUUUCGGAUCGUAAAGCUCUGUUGUAAGAGAAGAACGUGUGUGAGAGUGGAAAGUUCACACAGUGACGGUAACUUACCAGAAAGGGACGGCUAACUACGUGCCAGCAGCCGCGGUAAUACGUAGGUCCCGAGCGUUGUCCGGAUUUAUUGGGCGUAAAGCGAGCGCAGGCGGUUUAAUAAGUCUGAAGUUAAAGGCAGUGGCUUAACCAUUGUUCGCUUUGGAAACUGUUAAACUUGAGUGCCGAAGGGGAGAGUGGAAUUCCAUGUGUAGCGGUGAAAUGCGUAGAUAUAUGGAGGAACACCGGUGGCGAAAGCGGCUCUCUGGUCUGUAACUGACGCUGAGGCUCGAAAGCGUGGGGAGCAAACAGG
rnacentral:rRNA from 1 species